UUGGUUAAGUUAGAAAGGGCGCACGGUGGAUGCCUUGGCACUAGGAGCCGAAGAAGGACGGGACUAACACCGAUAUGCUUUGGGGAGCUGUACGUAAGCGUUGAUCCAGAGAUUUCCGAAUGGGGGAACCCACUAUCUUUAGUCGGAUAGUAUCCUUACGUGAAUACAUAGCGUGAGGAAGGCAGACCCAGGGAACUGAAACAUCUAAGUACCUGGAGGAAGAGAAAGAAAAAUCGAUUUCCUGAGUAGCGGCGAGCGAAACGGAAAGAGCCCAAACCAAGAAGCUUGCUUCUUGGGGUUGUAGGACACUCUAUACGGAGUUACAAAAGAAAGUUAUAAAUGAAGCGGUCUGGAAAGGCCCGCCAAAGACGGUAACAGCCCGGUAGUUGAAAUGGCUUUCCCUCCAGAGUGGAUCCUGAGUACGGCGGAACACGUGAAAUUCCGUCGGAAUCCGGGAGGACCAUCUCCCAAGGCUAAAUACUCCCUAGUGACCGAUAGUGAACCAGUACCGUGAGGGAAAGGUGAAAAGCACCCCGGAAGGGGAGUGAAACAGUUCCUGAAACCGUGUGCCUACAAGUAGUUAGAGCCCGUUAAUGGGUGAUAGCGUGCCUUUUGUAGAAUGAACCGGCGAGUUACGAUUUGUUGCAAGGUUAAGCGGAAAAAGCGGAGCCGUAGCGAAAGCGAGUCUGAAUAGGGCGCAUAAGUAACAGGUCGUAGACCCGAAACCAGGUGAUCUACCCAUGUCCAGGAUGAAGGUAAGGUAAUACUUACUGGAGGUCCGAACCCACGCACGUUGAAAAGUGCGGGGAUGAGGUGUGGGUAGCGGAGAAAUUCCAAUCGAACUUGGAGAUAGCUGGUUCUCUCCGAAAUAGCUUUAGGGCUAGCCUCGAGGUAAAGAGUCAUGGAGGUAGAGCACUGUUUGGACUAGGGGCCCUUCUCGGGUUACCGAAUUCAGAUAAACUCCGAAUGCCAUGUACUUAUACUCGGGAGUCAGACUGCGAGUGAUAAGAUCCGUAGUCGAAAGGGAAACAGCCCAGACCACCAGUUAAGGUCCCCAAAUAUAUGUUAAGUGGAAAAGGAUGUGGGGUUGCUUAGACAACCAGGAUGUUGGCUUAGAAGCAGCCACCAUUGAAAGAGUGCGUAAUAGCUCACUGGUCGAGUGACCCCGCGCCGAAAAUGUACCGGGGCUAAACAUAUUACCGAAACUGUGGAUGAACCUCUUUAGAGGUUCGUGGUAGGAGAGCGUUCUAAGGGCGGUGAAGUCAGACCGGAAGGACUGGUGGAGCGCUUAGAAGUGAGAAUGCCGGUAUGAGUAGCGAAAGAAGGGUGAGAAUCCCUUCCACCGAAUAUCUAAGGUUUCCUGAGGAAGGCUCGUCCGCUCAGGGUUAGUCGGGACCUAAGCCGAGGCCGAUAGGCGUAGGCGAUGGACAACAGGUAGAGAUUCCUGUACCAGUGCUAAUUGUUUAACCGAUGGGGUGACACAGAAGGAUAGGGAAUCGCACGAAUGGAAAUGUGCGUCCAAGCAGUGAGUGUGAGA
rnacentral:rRNA from 1 species